rnacentral:rRNA from 1 species
CCUACGGGAGGCAGCAGUGAGGAAUAUUGGUCAAUGGGCGGGAGCCUGAACCAGCCAAGUCGCGUGAGGGAAGACGGUCCUAUGGAUUGUAAACCUCUUUAGGCGGGGAGCAAUGCCGGGCACGCGUGCCCGGAGGGAGAGUACCCGCAGAAUAAGCAUCGGCUAACUCCGUGCCAGCAGCCGCGGUAGUACGGGGGAUGCGCGCGUUAUCCGGAUUUAUCGGGGUUAAAGGGUGCGUUGGCGGAUUUUUACGUCAGCGGCAAACUGUCCGGGGUCAGCCCGGGCCGGCCGUUGAAACUGGGGGUCUUGAGUGGGCGAGAGGUAUGCGGAAUGCGUGGUGUAGCGGUGAAAUGCGUAGAUAUCGAGCAGAACUCCGGUUGCGAAGGCAGCAUACCGGCGACCGACUGACGCUGAGGCACGAAAGCGUGGGGAUCGAACAGGAUUAGAUACCCCUGUAGUC